GCUAGUAAUCGUGGAUCAGAAUGCCACGGUGAAUACGUUCCCGGGCCUUGUACACACCGCCCGUCACACCAUGGGGCUAGUAAUCGUGGAUCAGAAUGCCACGGUGAAUACGUUCCCGGGCCUUGUACACACCGCCCGUCACACCAUGGGAGUGGGUUGCAAAAGAAGUAGGUAGCUUAACCUUCGGGAGGGCGCUUACCACUUUGUGAUUCAUGACUGGGGUGAAGUCGUAACAAGGUAACCGUAGGGGAACCUGCGGUUGGAUCACCUCCUUA
rnacentral:rRNA from 1 species